UUUAGGUGGUUACUAGGGAGUUGCUAUGUAGUUGUUUAGGUGUUUCUGUGGUUACUAUGAAGAUGCUAUGUGGUUGUCUAGGUGUACAGGUGGUUGCUAGGGAGUUGAUAUGUGGUUGUCUAAGUUUUCAUGUGGUUGCUAGGGAGUUGAUUUGUGGUUGUCUAGGUGUUCAGGUGGUUACUAAGGAGUUGCUUUGUGGUUGUCAAGGUGUACAGGUGGUUGCUAGGGAGUUGCUUUGUGGUUGUCUAGGUGUACAGGUGGUUACUAAGGAGUUGCUAUGUGGUUGUCUAGGUGUACAGGUGGUUGCUAGGGAGUUGCUUUGUGGUUGUCUAGGUGUACAGGUGGUUACUAAGGAGUUCCUUUAUGGUUGUCUAGGUGUACAGGUGGUUGCUAGGGAGUUGCUUUGUGGUUGUCUAGGUGUUCAGGUGGUCACUAAGGAGUUGCUUUGUGGUUGUCUAGGUGUUCAGGUGGUUACUAAGGAGUUGCUUUGUGGUUGUCUAGGUGUACAGGUGGUUGCUAGGGAGUUGCUUUGUGGUUGUCUAGGUGUUC
ensembl:lncRNA